GACAGAGGGUGCAAACGUUGUUCGGAAUUACUGGGCGUAAAGCGCGUGUAGGCGGCUAAGCAAGUCGGGCGUGAAAUCCCACGGCUCAACCGUGGAAGUGCACUCGAAACUGCAGGGCUAGAGUCCUGGAGAGGAAGGUGGAAUGCUUGGUGUAGAGGUGAAAUUCGUAGAUAUCAAGCGGAACACCGGUGGCGAAGGCGGCCUUCUGGACAGUGACUGACGCUGAGACGCGAAAGCGUGGGGAGCAAACAGG
rnacentral:rRNA from 1 species